rnacentral:lncRNA from 1 species
GUAAUUUACGGUGAACAAUAAAACUACUAGUAUUUAGAAUUUGAAUAGUGACGGUAGAAUUGUAAAAUAAGCAUUGCAGAAUAAAAGUGCAGUAAAGUGUAGCUAUAGUUCAUGUGUUAUGUGGGAUAAAUGCGGUUUUCAUAGAAUAAGCGGUACAAAACAAUGUUAGGAGAAAAAUAUUUUGUUGUUUUGCUAGUUAAAUAUUAAAACUAAGAUGAUUUUUCAUUCAACUUUUUUUUAAAAAACAAGAUUUGGAAUUGAACCAUGUCACCGGUUUUAACGAGUUUGACUCAUUGUGAUUAAUUUUUUUGGCUUAACUCGAAUACAGUUAAUCAAUUUGUAUGAUUUAUAUAAUCAGUUCUUAUAAUUUCAAAUUCUAAAGGUAUUUUGUAUAUAAUGUUGACUAUUUUUUUUAUAAAUUUUCUAAAAUAAUCUUCAUUAUUUAUCAUUGUUAAUAUUUUUAAAAGUACAACUUUAUAAAACCGCAUUUAAAACAUUCAUACUGCACUAAAUACUAGUGGUUUUACUGUUCACCAUAAAUUACAAUUUUUCUUCACAAAAAUGUACUGUAUUGUUGUCGCAUUUUUGUCAGAAAAAAUGAAACAU